AUGCCGCCGGAACGUAGAAGCCGAACGAAACCGGACCGGAGAAGCGGAGUGAGGCUGGACCGGAAGAGCCGAACGAAGCCGGACCGGAGAGCCGGAACAGGGCCGGGCGGGCCGCCCCGAAAGGCUGCUCCUUCAUCCCAGCGGAAACCGCCGGCCCGGCCGAGCGCAGCAGCCGCUGCGAUCGCAGUCGCGGCGGAGGAGGAGAGACGGCUCCGGCAGCGGAACCGCCUGACGCUGGAGGAGGACAAGCCGGCCGUGGAGCGGUGCCUGGAAGAGCUGGUGUUCGGCGAUGUCGAGGACAACGAGGACGCGUUGCUGCGGCGUCUGCAGGGCUCGCGGGUUCAAGUACAGGAAGACUCAGGUGACUUGGAAGUGGAGAAUGAAGCAAAAGAUAAUUUUCUAUUCCAAAAGAAGCCAGUUUGGGUGGAUGAAGAAGAUGAAGAUGAUGAAAUGGUUGACAUGAUGAGCAACCGGUUUCGGAAAGAUAUGAUGAAAAAUGCCAGUGAAAGUAAACUUUCAAAAGACAAGCUUCAAAAGAGACUUAAGGAAGAAUUCCAGCAUGCCAUGGGGGGAGUACCUGCCUGGGCAGAGACUAAUAAGCGGAAAACAUCUUCAGAUGAUGAAAGUGAAGAGGACGAAGAUGAUUUGUUGCAAAGGACUGGGAAUUUCAUAUCUACAUCAACCUCUCUUCCUAAAGGAAUCUUAAAGCUGAAGAAUUGUCUCCCUGCUAACGCAGAACGUCCUACUACCGCGCGGGUCUCGUCUGUGCAGUUCCAUCCUUGUGCGCAGGUCGUGAUGGUUGCGGCGCUGGAUAACGCGGUGUCGCUAUUUCAGGUUGAUGGAAAAACAAAUCCUAAAAUCCAGAGCAUCUAUUUGGAAAAGUUUCCAAUUUUUAAGGCCUGUUUUAGUGCUACUGGAGAAGAGGUUUUAGCCACGAGCAUCCACAGCAAGGUUCUUUAUGUCUACGAUAUGCUGGCUGGAAAGUUAAUUCCUGUGCAUCAAGUGAGAGGUUUGAAAGAGAAGAUAGUGAGGAGCUUUGAAGUGUCUCCAGAUGGGUCCUUCUUGCUGAUAAAUGGUGUUGCUGGAUAUCUUCAUUUGCUGUCAAUGAAGACUAAAGAACUGAUUGGUAGCAUGAAAAUUAAUGGAAGGGUUGCAGCAUCCACGUUCUCUUCAGAUAGUAAGAAAGUAUACGCCUCUUCAGGCGAUGGGGAAGUUUAUGUUUGGGAUGUGAACUCUAGAAAGUGCCUUAACAGAUUUGUUGAUGAAGGCAGUUUAUAUGGAUUAAGUAUUGCCACAUCUAGGAAUGGACAGUAUGUGGCUUGUGGUUCUAAUUGUGGAGUGGUAAACAUAUACAAUCAAGAUUCUUGUCUCCAGGAAACAAACCCAAAGCCUAUAAAAGCCAUAAUGAACUUGGUUACAGGUGUUACUUCUCUGACCUUCAAUCCUACUACAGAAAUCUUGGCAAUUGCUUCAGAAGAAAUGAAAGAAGCAGUCAGAUUGGUUCACCUUCCGUCCUGUACAGUAUUUUCAAACUUCCCAGUCAUUAAAAAGAAGACUAUUUCUCUUGUUCAUACCAUGGAUUUUUCUCCCAGAAGUGGGUAUUUUGCCUUGGGGAACGAAAAGGGCAAGGCCCUGCUAUAUAGGUUUUAAGGUUAAACCCAUUGCUGUCACUUGGCAGAGGGACCACAUUAGCUGAUCUUUGUUUCUUUGCCACUGGAUUGCUGUACCUUCAGAUCCAUUUGAGCCACAAGAGAAGCCCAUCUUGAUAUAUCUUCUCAGAAACUUUCUGAAUGUGUGAUAAUAUAUGUAUAAUGAUUUAUUGAGCCAGCUGUGCUUAUUUAACAGAAAUGUCUUAAUAAACAAAUAACAACUUUUGUUUGAAAAUAAA